rnacentral:rRNA from 1 species
GUGGGGAAUAUUGGACAAUGGGGGGAACCCUGAUCCAGCCAUGCCGCGUGUGUGAAGAAGGCCUUUUGGUUGUAAAGCACUUUAAGCGAGGAGGAGGCUACCGAGAUUAAUACUCUUGGAUAGUGGACGUUACUCGCAGAAUAAGCACCGGCUAACUCUGUGCCAGCAGCCGCGGUAAUACAGAGGGUGCAAGCGUUAAUCGGAUUUACUGGGCGUAACGCGCGCGUAGGUGGCCAAUUAAGUCAAAUGUGAAAUCCCCGAGCUUAACUUGGGAAUUGCAGUCGAUACUGGUUGGCUAGAGUAUGGGAGAGGAUGGUAGAAUUCCAGGUGUAGCGGUGAAAUGCGUAGAGAUCUGGAGGAAUACCGAUGGCGAAGGCAGCCAUCUGGCCUAAUACUGACACUGAGGUGCGAAAGCAUGGGGAGCAAACAGGAUUAGAUACCCUUGUAGUCC